CAGUCGGUCUAUUUUUAACCUAGAAAAAAUUGCAAAAGAAUUAAUUCCGUGUGGAUCGUAUUCUCCUAUGUCUUAUUAAUACAAAGUGUUAUUUUCAAGUCUCAACUCAAUGGGGAAAGUGUUUAAAUUAAACGUUAAAAAUGGCGAAAAAUGCAAAUUUUUCUGAUGUCAAAUGUAGUACACCAUACAUGGUUUUCCAAUAAAUAUGACGUCAUAAAGUGACGUGCAACAGUACAACAUGGCGGGCAAAGUCAGUUGACAGUUCUGCUGAUCGAUGUGGUAUCAACUGUGAUUUUAGGUUAUAAAGACGGUCACGUGGAUCAAUGAAAUAUAGAUUGCGGAAGAAAUCAGUUACUCUUGUUUAAUGUGGCUUGUUACCUGCAAAUAUCAAUACUUAGGUUCAUACAUCGACGAGAGAAGUUGAAAGAAGGCAGUGGGGGCUGGUUAUUGGGAAUUUUUUAAGCAAAGACGCAGUAGUGUAUAAAGUAUGUGACAAGACCAAAAGUUCAAGUAGCUUUGGCCAUCUUUAUCAUUCAGCAUGGGCAAUGUAUGAUGGAUGACAGGC